rnacentral:rRNA from 1 species
GGCCAACUGCCCCACCCCCCCCAAGGUGGUAAAUGGAAUUUUUCUGUAGCGGUAGAAUGUGCGGAUAGAAAAUAGAACCCCAAAAGCUGAAGCAAUUUACCGCGGGGUGGGAGGGGGGGCCCCCUGGGGCGCCCCCCCGGGCUACGGGCUGAAACACGAGGGUGUGGGGAACAAACAGGAUUAGAGACCCUGGUAGUCCACACUGUAAACGAUGGAGAAAAUGCAAAUGCAGUCCCGAAAGGCAGCAAUCUCCCGCCUGAGUAGUACGAUCGCCAGAUUAAAACUCCAAAAAUUUGGCUGUUCACCGUUUCGAUUAGAGGAGCGUGUAGUUUAAUUCGAUAAACCGCGAGAUACCUUACCCAAACUUGAAUCCUUGAGGAUUCUAAGGAAUCCUUAUGGACCGGUAUUGCAUGGCCGUCGUCAGUUCGUGUAUGAAACUUUAAACGGACCCAACCCGAGGAUUCUUUUCAGACUACCCUAAUUAGGGUAGGGGCCGCGGAUGAAGUCAGGUCUUAUGGUCCCAAUGUUUGGGGAUAAUAUGCGCUACAUUUUCUUAUACAAUGGGAAACCUGGGAGGUGAAACCCAAAAGUGAGAGUUCGGUAGGCUAUUGGAAGAUGGCCGAAAGUUGAAUUUAAUAGUAAU